rnacentral:rRNA from 1 species
UACGUAGGGGGGCUAGCGUUGUCCGGAUUUAUUGGGCGUAAAGAGCGUGUAGGCGGCCAGAUAGGUCUGCUGUGAAAACUCGAGGCUCAACCUCGAGAUGUCGGCGGAAACCAUUUGGCUAGAGUCCGGAAGAGGAGAGUGGAAUUCCCAGUGUAGCGGUGAAAUGCGUAGAUAUUGGGAGGAACACCAGUGGCGAAGGCGGCUCACUGGACCGGAACUGACGCUGAGGAGCGAAAGCAUGGGGAGCAAACAGG